rnacentral:tRNA from 1 species
ACCGAAAUAGCUCAGUUAGGUGAGCGUUAGACUGAAAAUCUAAAGGUCCCUGGUUCGAUCCCGGGUUUCGGCA